AAAAACCCCUACAUAAACAAACACAUGGGCGCAGACAUUUUGGACACCCAAAGUUGUGCGGAGGAGAAAAUGCUAGCUGGCGCGUGAUUGGUCAAUAAGAGAAAAGACUUGUUAUGUAUUUGACAAGUGAAAUAAAGUUGAUAAAAAUCUCAUAUCAAGACUUGGGUUUCUUUGAGAUAUAUAGGAGUUACAGGUAAAAAUUUGAAGGGAGGGGUGCCCUUUGGUUAGAGAUUUUCAUUUGGUGUCAAACGCACCUUGUUGUAAACAAAUGGAAAUUGAAAGUAAAAGUGCCGCGUGACGGUAUAUUUUUUCUGGCAUGUUUUGUUUUCCAAUAUCUCGAACUUUCACGACAAAAAGGCCAUUUGUCCGAAAUUCAAUAUAUGUAUGAGUGACAGGGGCUCAAGUUUGUAUGGAAGUCUAUGGGAAAACAUUUAGUGGUGUUUGUCCUAUAGAAUAGCAAUGCAUUCUCAAGAAGGAAGAGAUUAAUGAACCCUCCCCUCUUACAAUGAACAACACAUGGACACUCUCAGGAUGGUCCCUUUGCUUUCAUUAAGAGUUCCAAGAUGUGUGUCUGAUUGACUGGGGUGUGAAAUGUAACAGCCAAUGGUGUACUUAAGCUAAGACUGUCAGUCCCAAUAUUCAAGAGGAAAAACCCCUACAUAAACAAACACAUGGGCGCAGACAUUUUGGACACCCAAAGUUGUGCGGAGGAGAAAAUGCUAGCUGGCGCGUGAUUGGUCAAUAAGAGAAAAGACUUGUUAUGUAUUUGACAAGUGAAAUAAAGUUGAUAAAAAUCUCAUAUCAAGACUUGGGUUUCUUUGAGAUAUAUAGGAGUUACAGGUAAAAAUUUGAAGGGAGGGGUGCCCUUUGGUUAGAGAUUUUCAUUUGGUGUCAAACGCACCUUGUUGUAAACAAAUGGAAAUUGAAAGUAAAAGUGCCGCGUGACGGUAUAUUUUUUCUGGCAUGUUUUGUUUUCCAAUAUCUCGAACUUUCACGACAAAAAGGCCAUUUGCCCGAAAUUCAAUAUAUGUAUGAGUGACCGGGGCUCAAGUUUGUAUGGAAGUCUAUGGGAAAACAUUUAGUGUUGUUUGUCCUAUAGAAUAGCAAUGCAUUCUCAAGAAGGAAGAGAUUAAUGAACCCUCCCCUCUUACAAUGAACAACACAUGGACACUCUCAGGAUGGUCCCUUUGCUUUCAUUAAGAGUUCCAAGAUGUGUGUCUGAUUGACUGGGGUGUGAAAUGUAACAGCCAAUGGUGUACUUAAGCUAAGACUGUCAGUCCCAAUAUUCAAGAGGAAAAACCCCUACAUAAACAAACACAUGGGCGCAGACAUUUUGGACACCCAAAGUUGUGCGGAGGAGAAAAUGCUAGCUGGCGCGUGAUUGGUCAAUAAGAGAAAAGACUUGUUAUGUAUUUGACAAGUGAAAUAAAGUUGAUAAAAAUCUCAUAUCAAGACUUGGGUUUCUUUGAGAUAUAUAGGAGUUACAGCAAUGCAUUCUCAAGAAGGAAGAGAUUAAUGAACCCUCCCCUCUUACAAUGAACAACACAUGGACACUCUCAGGAUGGUCCCUUUGCUUUCAUUAAGAGUUCCAAGAUGUGUGUCUGAUUGACUGGGGUGUGAAAUGUAACAGCCAAUGGUGUACUUAAGCUAAGACUGUCAGUCCCAAUAUUCAAGAGGAAAAACCCCUACAUAAACAAACACAUGGGCGCAGACAUUUUGGACACCCAAAGUUGUGCGGAGGAGAAAAUGCUAGCUGGCGCGUGAUUGGUCAAUAAGAGAAAAGACUUGUUAUGUAUUUGACAAGUGAAAUAAAGUUGAUAAAAAUCUCAUAUCAAGACUUGGGUUUCUUUGAGAUAUAUAGGAGUUACAGGUAAAAAUUUGAAGGGAGGGGUGCCCUUUGGUUAGAGAUUUUCAUUUGGUGUCAAACGCACCUUGUUGUAAACAAAUGGAAAUUGAAAGUAAAAGUGCCGCGUGACGGUAUAUUUUUUCUGGCAUGUUUUGUUUUCCAAUAUCUCGAACUUUCACGACAAAAAGGCCAUUUGUCCGAAAUUCAAUAUAUGUAUGAGUGACAGGGGCUCAAGUUUGUAUGGAAGUCUAUGGGAAAACAUUUAGUGGUGUUUGUCCUAUAGAAUAGCAAUGCAUUCUCAAGAAGGAAGAGAUUAAUGAACCCUCCCCUCUUACAAUGAACAACACAUGGACACUCUCAGGAUGGUCCCUUUGCUUUCAUUAAGAGUUCCAAGGUAUGGUUUUCCUAGCCAAUCUAGUUAAU